AUUGAACGCUGGCGGCAUGCCUUACACAUGCAAGUCGAACGGCAGCGGACCUUCGGGUGCCGGCGAGCGGCGAACGGGUGAGUAAUAUAUCGGAACGUACCUUUCAGUGGGGGAUAACGUAGCGAAAGUUACGCUAAUACCGCAUAUUCUGUGAGCAGGAAAGCAGGGGAUCGCAAGACCUUGCGCUGAUUGAGCGGCCGAUAUCAGAUUAGCUAGUUGGUGAGGUAAAGGCUCACCAAGGCGACGAUCUGUAGCGGGUCUGAGAGGAUGAUCCGCCACACUGGAACUGAGACACGGUCCAGACUCCUACGGGAGGCAGCAGUGGGGAAUUUUGGACAAUGGGCGCAAGCCUGAUCCAGCCAUGCCGCGUGAGUGAAGAAGGCCUCGGUUG
rnacentral:rRNA from 1 species